rnacentral:rRNA from 1 species
UACGUAGGUGACAAGCGUUGUCCGGAUUUACUGGGCGUAAAGAGCGCGCAGGCGGUCGUUCAAGUCGAGUGUGAAAGCCCCCGGCUCAACUGGGGAGGGUCACGCGAUACUGCUCGACUCGAAGGCAGGAGAGGGAAGUGGAAUUCCCGGUGUAGUGGUGAAAUGCGUAGAUAUCGGCAGGAACACCAGUGGCGAAGGCGGCCACCUAGCCCGCACCUGACGCUGAGGCGCGAAAGCGUGGGGAGCAAACAGG